GUGGAGGGUUCUAGAGGUACGUGUUAGGUGUUUGUGGAGGGUUCUAGAGGUACGUGUUAGGUGUUUGUGGAGGGUCCUAGAGGUACGUGUUAGGUGUUUGUGGAGGGUUCUAGAGGUACGUGUUAGGUGUUUGUGGAGGGUUCUAGAGGUACGUGUUAGGUGUUUGUGGAGGGUUCUAGAGGUACGUGUUAGGUGUUUGUGGAGGGUUCUAGAGGUACGUGUUAGGUGUUUGUGGAGGGUUCU